GACGAACGCUGGCGGCGUGCUUAACACAUGCAAGUCGAACGGAAAGGCCCUGCUUUUGUGAGGUGCUCGAGUGGCGAACGGGUGAGUAACACGUGAGUAACCUGCCCUUGACUUUGGGAUAACUUCAGGAAACUGGGGCUAAUACCGGAUAGGAGCUCCUGCUGCAUGGUGGGGGUUGGAAAGUUUCGGCGGUUGGAGAUGGACUCGCGGCUUAUCAGCUUGUUGGUGGGGUAGUGGCUUACCAAGGCUUUGACGGGUAGCCGGCCUGAGAGGGUGACCGGCCACAUUGGGACUGAGAUACGGCCCAGACUCCUACGGGAGGCAGCAGUGGGGAAUAUUGCACAAUGGGCGGAAGCCUGAUGCAGCAACGCCGCGUGCGGGAUGACGGCCUUCGGGUUGUAAACCGCUUUCGCCUGUGACGAAGCGUGAGUGACGGUAAUGGGUAAAGAAGCACCGGCUAACUACGUG
rnacentral:rRNA from 1 species